GCACGAGUGGCGGAACUGGCAAACGCACUGGAUUUAGGUUCCAGCGCCGAAAGGCUUGGGGGUUCGAUUCCCCCCUCGUGCA
rnacentral:tRNA from 1 species